CAUAUCACACACACAACAAUUAAAAAUUAAAAAAAAAAUCCUUUCUUGUUCUACAUUAGCUUGAUUAUCAAUAUCAAAUUAAAUAUGGCUCUUAUAUCUGUCUCCACCUGCUUCUUGAUCAUUUACAUGGUCGUUAGUGAAACUCUCUGUGUGUCAUUUUCAUAUGAUAUAAAUACUUGUCCAUCAGGUUACCCAGAGAAGGGAGUGGCAGUGGACAAACAAGACAUAGACAAGAUGCAAUUUCCAGUGAACUUGGAGUUCUUGGAAGCUGAAUAUUUCUCAUGGGCUACUUAUGGAUAUGGUCUUGAUGUAGUAGCACCAAAAUUGGCUAUGGGUGGGCCUCCUCCUAUUGGUGGCCGAAAAGCAAAUCUUGAUCCACUUACGAAGAAUAUUAUUAUGGAGUUUGCUAAUCAAGAAGUCGGUCAUCUAAGGGCACUUAACUCGACAGUUGGUGUUUUUCCAAGACCUUUGUUGGAUCUAAGUGCUAAAAAUUUCGGAAAGAUAUUUGACGAAGCAUUUGGAUACAAAUUGAUACCUCCAUUUGAUCCAUAUAGAGACAGCUUGAGCUACAUGUUAUCCUGCUAUGUAAUUCCAUAUGUUGGAUUAGUUGGUUAUGUUGGUACCAAUCCCAAUAUCAAUGGCUACGAAACCAAAAGGCUUUUGGCAGGAUUAUUGGGUGUUGAAUCAGGACAAGACGCAGUUAUCAGGAUGUACCUCUAUGAGAGAGCGGCACAAUUUGUUUUUCCCUACAAACACACAGUAGCUGACUUCACGUCUCGUAUAUCAGAACUAAGAAAUAAAUUAGCAAAAUGUGGGAACAAAGACGAAGGCCUAUUUGUUCCGCCACAACUUGGAGCAGAAAAUCGGACAAUAAGUAACGUAUUAUCGGAAGAUUUUAAUUCAAUUUCUUACAAAAGAACUCCUGCUGAGAUUCUGAGGAUCGUGUACGGCUCUGGUGAUGAACAUGUGCCUGGUGGAUUUUAUCCUAAUGGUGCUAAUGGAAGGAUUGCCAGGGAAUUUCUGAAACAGCCAUAUUGAGAAUAAUUAAAAAAAGAAGAGGGUACCUUGAAAUAAAAUACCUUAUCUAUUACUAGUAGGUGGAGAUGGAACUGGUGGAUGCAUGAAUGGCCAUGGAUGAUGGUGAGCCCAUUGAUAAGGAAACCUAGGAUGAAUGAAUGGCCAUGGCCGAGGAUGUAUCCAUGGAUGAGGAUGAAAACCACUAGCUGGCAUUGGAGGAUGAACGAAUGGCCAUGGAGGAUGAGGAAAUCCAUGAGCAGGCAUUGGAGGAUGAGGAUGGAACCAUGGAUGGUACCAAUCUAGUCCUUAAUCAUUAGCAUGUGUAGUUGCACUUUCGUCAUGUGAGGAUGAAUCGGUUUUUUCACUUGCAAAGCAUAAGUUCACUAGGAAAAUGCAAAUGAGAAAAGUAACAAGGCUAUUUUUCUUGGCCAUGGUU